rnacentral:rRNA from 1 species
CACGUAGGGGACGAGCGUUGUCCGGAAUCAUUGGGCGUAAAGCGCGCGUAGGCGGCCCGGUAAGUCGGAUGUGAAAUCCCGGGGCUCAACCCCGGGCCUGCAUCCGAUACUCCCGGGCUGGAGGCAGGUAGGGGAGAUCGGAAUUCCUGGUGUAGCGGUGAAAUGCGCAGAUAUCAGGAGGAACACCGGUGGCGAAGGCGGAUCUCUGGGCCUUGCCUGACGCUGAGGCGCGAAAGCUAGGGGAGCGAACAGG